AUUGAACGCUGGCGGCAUGCCUUACACAUGCAAGUCGAACGGCAGCACGGGAGCAAUCCUGGUGGCGAGUGGCGAACGGGUGAGUAAAGUAUCGGAACGUGCCCAGUCGUGGGGGAUAACGUAGCGAAAGUUACGCUAAUACCGCAUACGAUCUAUGGAUGAAAGCGGGGGAUCGCAAGACCUCGCGCGAUUGGAGCGGCCGAUAUCAGAUUAGGUAGUUGGUGGGGUAAAGGCUCACCAAGCCGACGAUCUGUAGCUGGUCUGAGAGGACGACAAGCCACACUGGGACUGAGACACGACCCAGACGCCUACGGGAGGCAGCAGUGGGGAAUUUUGGACAAUGGGCGCAAGCCUGAUCCAGCCAUGCCGCGUGCAGGAUGAAGGCCUUCGGGUUGUAAACUGCUUUUGUACGGAACGAAAAGGUUUGACUUAAUACGUUGGACUCAUGACGGUACCGUAAGAAUAAGCACCGGCUAACUACGUGCCAGCAGCCGCCGCCG
rnacentral:rRNA from 1 species